rnacentral:rRNA from 1 species
GACGAACGCUGGCGGCGUGCUUAACACAUGCAAGUCGAACGGUGAAGCGCCUUCCUUUUUGGUGGGUGUGGAUGAGUGGCGAACGGGUGAGUAACACGUGAGUAACCUGCCCCCUUCUUCUGGAUAACCGCAUGAAAGUGUGGCUAAUACGGGAUAUUCUGGGUCUGUCGCAUGAUGGGUCUGGGAAAGAUAUUGUUUCGGUGGGGGAUGGGCUCGCGGCCUAUCAGCUUGUUGGUGGGGUGAUGGCCUACCAAGGCGGUGACGGGUAGCCGGCCUGAGAGGGUGGACGGUCACACUGGGACUGAGACACGGCCCAGACUCCUACGGGAGGCAGCAGUGGGGAAUAUUGCGCAAUGGGCGCAAGCCUGAUGCAGCGACGCCGCGUGAGGGAUGAGGCCUUCGGGUUGUGAACCUCUUUCGCCAGUGAAGCAGGCCUGCCUCGUUUGUGGGUGGGUUGACGGUAGCUGGAUAAGAAGCGCCGGCUAACUACGUG